UUAGUUUUAUUAUUAUUAUCCUUAGAAUCGAUAAAAAUACAAAUCAUAGUAAUAUCAUCAGUCCUUAGUUCAUAUUGUAACCAUAGCUCAUAGCUUUCUGCUACAACAGCUCUACAAGCUGAAAGUGGGUCUUUAAAUUUCGCGCAAAUAUCAAUGAC
rnacentral:ribozyme from 14 species